AAAAUAGUGCCUAUGAAAAAAGAAGUCAAGGUGCCAAAAGAGAAAGUCAAAGCAGUCUCUGCAAAGAAGACAGAAGUUCCAAAGGAAAAGGCCAAAGCUGCUCCUGCUAAGAAAGCAACUGUUGCUCCUAAAGAAAAGGCCAA